UUUGUAUUAUCAUCGAUUUUUUUAUUGAAUAAAGUGCUUUUUGCGAAUCAUGCCACUAACAAAAAAGCAAUUAUUAGCUGUUGUGUUAAUUAUGGAAAAUGAUGGUAAUACUGUGAAAAAGAAAAAAAAAGUUUGGCUGAAAGAAUGGUUAAAAAACAGAGACCAAGGUUCAGAUUUGAAUUUAUUAAGAGAGCUAAGAACAUCAAACCCUGAUGACUACCGGAAUUUUCCGAGAAUGAAUGAAAACACAAUCAAGUUGCUGAAAAAGUUUCCAAAUACAGAAAACGAAUGGAUGGAAAUCGGAAAGGAGUUUGAACAAAGAUGGAAUUUUCCAAACUGUGGCGGGAUUGGGGAUUGACGGGAAGCAUAUUCGAAUCAAAUGCCCACCCAAAACUGGAUCAUAUUACUACAACUAUAAACAUUUUUUUAGUAUCAUAUUGAUAGCUAUCGUAAACGCAAAUUAUGAGUUUAUUUACGCUAACGUUGGAACAAAUGGACGAAUGUCCUAUGGAGGAGUUAUCUAUUAGACAUCAUUUUAUAAAAAAUUAAACGAAGAAACCUUAAAUCUACCAAAACCAGAGCAAAAUGUUAAAAAUUUGAAUAAUGUUUUUGUUGCUGAUGAUGCAUGGACUGCAUAAAAAUAUCGUGAAACCUUUUCCGCAAAAUAAUUUAACUUACGAGCAAAGAGUACUUAGUUACCGUUUAUCACGUGCCAGGCGCAUUGUGGAAAAUGCUUUUGGGAUAAUGGCAAGUAGAUUUAGAAUUUUGUCAACAGAGAUAAAUCUAAUACCUGAAAAAGUUGAUAAAACUGUACUAGCUUGUUGCAUGCUUCACAAUUUCUUAAGGAGAGAAAGUAGCACUUACAUAAGCACUUUGUGCGUUGACUAUGAAAAUACAGAAAUAGGUGAUAGUGUAUAUGGAGAAUAUAGGAAUGAAUCUCAGUUGAUUCAUGGGCUAAAGAAUACCAACAGCAAGAAUUGCACAAAUGAUGCCAAACAAAAUAGAUGUAAUUAUAUGAAUUAUUUUAAUACAAUUGGUAUUGUACCUUGGCAAAAUAAAAUGUUGUAGAAAUAUAUGUAAUUAAUCAAUAGUUACCUCCGUAAGUCUUCAUCGCUUAUAUCAUUCGAAAUGUUUUUCCUGGUUUCCUCCUGAUCUGCUUUGAAGAGAAAUAAGUUGUAAUACCAUAAAGUGGGUUUAUAUUGUUCAGCUUCAUCACCGUCCAUUCCGGAUUUAACAUGUUUUAUUUUUUUCAACUCUCUUCGGAAGGAAGAACGUAGGGAUGAUUUUUUUUUUACAGCGUCCUUAGUCGCACUUUCGAUACUAAAUCGUUGGUGCACAUCAAUUAAUGCGGAAUUACCCUUCUCUUUUAGAAGUCGAUUGGAAUACUCAGGAGACUUGAUUUUCCACAAUGCAUUAUGUUCUUUAUAAAUAUGAAUAAACUCUGUUAUAAACUCAA